GAGUUUGAUCAUGGCUCAGAUUGAACGCUGGCGGCAUGCCUUACACAUGCAAGUCGAACGGCAGCAUGAUCUAGCUUGCUAGAUUGAUGGCGAGUGGCGAACGGGUGAGUAAUACAUCGGAACGUGCCCUGUAGUGGGGGAUAACUAGUCGAAAGAUUAGCUAAUACCGCAUACGACCUGAGGGUGAAAGUGGGGGACCGCAAGGCCUCAUGCUAUAGGAGCGGCCGAUGUCUGAUUAGCUAGUUGGUGGGGUAAAGGCCCACCAAGGCGACGAUCAGUAGCUGGUYUGAGAGGACGAUCAGCCACACUGGGACUGAGACACGGCCCAGACUCCUACGGGAGGCAGCAGUGGGGAAUUUUGGACAAUGGGCGAAAGCCUGAUCCAGCAAUGCCGCGUGUGUGAAGAAGGCCUUCGGGUUGUAAAGCACUUUUGUCCGGAAAGAAAUGGCUYUGGUUAAUACCUGGGGUCGAUGACGUACCGAAAGGGU
rnacentral:rRNA from 1 species